UGGGCACUCGGGUCAGUCGUCCUGCGGCUCCGAGUCUCCGAGCUCCCGUCUCACACCGGCGACUCGGUCGUCCCUCGGAGCACCUUCCUCACGAAGACUCUGCGAAGUGCUGCUUCCACGACGGAGCCGGAAGGACGCAAGGAUGGCGGUGGGACCGGGCUUCGGCGGAGCUCUCUGUACCUACUUCCACUUCAUCCCCACCUGCCAAGAGCCUGACUGCUACCAAAUUGCCAUGCCAGCAAUUUUCUCAGCCGCUUAAAAGGCCAUCAAGACAGCAUCAAACUGCCUGUACAUGCUAAACCCAAAUGCUUAUGGAGCAGAGCCCAGAGUGGAUGCUAAAUUGGAUUCUAUCAAAUCAACAUCAGCUGCGUGCAAGCCGCUGAUAAUGAAAGGCUCUAACGAUGGUGUUCAUUGCUGUGAAGAGAUGACUUGGAGCUGAGAAUGGAUGUUUGCUUGCUCUUGCUGGGGAGAGAAGGAGGCACUGGGGAGAGGUUGUGUGAUGGACUGUCUCUUGGUGGAUAUUGGAGGGAAGAAAGGAGGAAGGAGGGAGACAGAGGAUUGUCACUCAUUCUUGGAAUGGAGGUGGAUGUAGGAAAGGCUUUCAUACUCUCCUGCCUAUCACACACACACACACACACACACACACGCACGCACGCACGCACGCACGCACGCACGGCCCAGAAAUACAUCAAGAUCAUGAAGGUAGGUCUGGCAAGAUGUGGAGAUAAAGUCUAACUUUGAAUCCAAAAAUAACUCCCACAUCGCUCCCCACACCAUCGGCCCCAUCCCACAAGCUCCUCAGGCCUGAGUGGUAACCACUGUACCUGAAGGAGAGGAAGGAUAGAAGCGUUGGUCUAGGACUUGCUGGAGUCUCUUGGUUUCUAGACCUAGUCUUUCUCCACCUUUGUUCCAGGUUACAUAAGUCUGCUUCUUCCAUCCUCUUGGUAUGUGGAUUAGUUUUCUACAGCUGCUAUAACAAAUUGCUACAGUUAGUGGCUUAAACAACACAAAUUUCUUAUCUUACAGUUUUAAGUUCAGAAUUCUCACAUGGGUUUUGCCAGGUGAAGAUCAAAGUG
ensembl:lncRNA